rnacentral:tRNA from 1 species
GGGGGUGUAGCUUAGUGAUAGAGCAUUUGCCUAGCAUGCAAACUCUUGGGUUAGAUCCCUAGCACCACCA